AAGCCAGCCACCGAAUCUUCUUGCCUGAUUAUGCUUCUACGGAAAUGUUUAAACAAACUGCUGAUAGUAAAGAAUUGUUAUGAGCCUUAAUGACACCGGGGUCAUGAAGGCCCCUGAAAGUGUCUAUAUGA
ensembl:snoRNA